rnacentral:tRNA from 1 species
CAAAAAAUAGUUUAAUAUAGAAUAUUAACAUUGGAAGUUAAUGGUUAAAGGUUUUUAUUUUUUGA